UUUUUAGGUUGUGUUAUAAAGUAACCAAAACCCAACGUCGAGCCAACGUCUCAAGCCAACGUCACAUUGACAUCAAAUACUGAUAUUUAGUCGUCAGGUAUGGCAACCAUAAUCCAACGUUUCCUAGACGUCAUAAUGGCAACGUCCACACAACGUCAAAUUAAAACAUCAUUUGAUGUUGAUCUGUAGUUAGUUUUAGGUUGUGGCAUUAACUAACCAAAAUCCAACGUCGAGCCAACGUCUCAAGCCACCGUCAGAUUGACAUCAAAUACUGAUACUUAGUCGUCAGGUAUGGCAACCAAAAUCCAAUGUUUCCUAUACGUCAUAAUGGCAACGUCUACACAAUGUCAAAUUAAAACAUCAUUUGAUGUUGAUCUGUAGUUAGUUUUAGGUUGUGGCAUUAACUAACCAAAAUCCAACAUCAAGACAACGUCUCAAGCGAACGUCAGAUUGACAUCAAAUACUGAUACUUAGUCGUCAGGUAUGGCAACCAAAAUCCAAUGUCUUCAAGACGCCAUACUGGUAACGUCCAAUCAACGUAAAAUUAUAACGUCAUAUGACUUUGAUCUUUAGUUUGUUUUUAGGUUGUGACAUUAACUAACCUAAACCCAACGUCGAGCCAAC
ensembl:lncRNA